GUGAAGGUGUUCGGAUCGCGGCGAUGCGGGCGGUUCGCUGCUCGCGACGUCGCGAGAAGUCCAUUGAACCUUAUCAUUUAGAGGAAGGAGAAGUCGUAACAAGGUUUCCGUAGGUGAACCUGCGGAAGGAUCAUUGUCGUAACCUGCGAAAGCAAAGCAACUCGCGAACACGUAGUCAACACUCGGGGAUUCGAGCGCGYCCUCCCCGGGGGACGCCCUUUUCUCCCCAAAGUCGGGGCGGCCCGGCGCUCGUUGCUCGCAGGCGGCGCGAUUGUCGCGAGCUAACGGCCUCCGGGCCUUCCCGACGCAACAAAAAACCGGCGCGGAAUGCGCCAAGGAAUAUGAAAGAGAGUGCGCUCUUUCGGCGUCAGCUCGCGCUGCGCUCGGACGGGCGUCGUCUUCUUGAUGAGUUUAUAAUGACUCUCGGCAACGGAUAUCUCGGCUCUUACAUCGAUGAAGAACGUAGCAAAAUGCGAUACUUGGUGUGAAUUGCAGAAUCCCGUGAACCAUCGAGUCUUUGAACGCAAGUUGCGCCCGAAUCCAUCUGGUUGAGGGCACGUCUGCCUGGGUGUCACGUACACGCGCCUCCCGCGAACCUUCCCCUUUAUGCGGACGAAUGGUCUCGCGGGAGCAGAUGUUGGUAUCCCGUGCCUGUUUCGCGCGGCUUGCCUAAAAACGGAGAUCCGGCGACGAAACGUCGCGUCUAGUGGUGGUUGAUGAGGCCUAACGGCCGAACCAGUUCGCGGCGCGAUCGUUUGUCGCAAGAAAGUCUCGGACGACACCUCGGACGCCCCCUAACGGGCGUGCCACUGUCGCGACCCCAGGUCAGGCGGGACUACCCGCUGAAUUUAAGCAUAUCAAUAAGCGGAGGAAGAGAAACUUACAAGGAUUCCCCUAGUAAC
rnacentral:misc_RNA from 1 species